GUUUGCAUCCCUACAUCCUUGUCCUCCUCGUCAUGCUGGCCGCCUGCGGCGGCGCGGAGGCUUAGACCGGCGUCGAGGUUUUGCAGCGCCUUUUCCUGACGAGCAGCUGCCGCUUCUUCUCUCAAGCCGUCAAGCGGCGGGCACAGCCUCGAUUCGGUCGCCUCGCCUUUUGUUUUUAUUUUUUGAGCUUUUGCUUUUAUUUUCUUACUUUAGGUUUUAAUUUUUAUUGAUUUGCAAAAAAAGAAAUCACCUGGCUUCUACAGGGCGCGCACGAUAGCGGGCCGGUGGAGUUCCGGACGUGGCCGGAUCCGGCAGGAGAGGAGGGGCAGUGCCAUGGCCGCACGGGGAAGCAGGCACGGGGGAGUAGGCGCACUAGCGGCAGCGCAGCC
rnacentral:lncRNA from 1 species